CAAUACUCCCGCCGGCGACCGGCGCACGGGUGAGUAACACGUAUGAAACCUGCCCGUAGCAGGGGGAUAAGCGGAAGAAAUUCCGUCUAAUACCGCGUAACAACCCGAGGAGGCAUCUCCUCGGGUUUAAAGGAAGCGAUUCCGGCUACGGAUGGUCAUGCGUCGCAUUAGCUAGUUGGCGGGGUAACGGCCCACCAAGGCGACGAUGCGUAGGGGUUCUGAGAGGAAGGUCCCCCACACCGGUACUGAGACACGGACCAGACUCCUACGGGAGGCAGCAG
rnacentral:rRNA from 1 species